AAUGAACGUUGGCGGCGUGGAUUAGGCAUGCAAGUCGAGCGAUAACCCGCAAGGGGGAAAGCGGCAAACGGGGUAGUAAUGUGUCGGAACGUGCCCUCUGGUCGGGGAUAGCGGCGGGAAACUGCCGGUAAUACCCGAUGAACUCGAGAGAGCAAAGGUGUGAUUCCGCCGGAGGAGCGGCCGACAUGGUAUUAGCUAGUUGGCGGGGUAAUGGCCCACCAAGGCUGUGAUGCCUAGGGGAUGUGAGAGCAUGAUCCCCACCAUUGGGACUGAGACACUGCCCAGACACCUACGGGUGGCUGCAGUCGAGAAUCUUCGUCAAUGGGCGAAAGCCUGAACGAGCGACGCCGCGUGCGGGAUGAAGGCCCUUGGGUUGUAAACCGCUGUCGAGGGGGAUGAAGGCUGAGUCGUUAUCGGCUCAGUUUGACAGAGCCCAGAAGGAAGCACGGGCUAAGUUCGUGCCAGCAGCCGC
rnacentral:rRNA from 1 species